AGUGAACGCUGGCGGUAGGCCUAACACAUGCAAGUCGAACGGCAGCACAGUAAGAGCUUGCUCUUACGGGUGGCGAGUGGCGGACGGGUGAGGAAUACAUCGGAAUCUACUUUUUCGUGGGGGAUAACGUAGGGAAACUUACGCUAAUACCGCAUACGACCUACGGGUGAAAGCAGGGGAUCUUCGGACCUUGCGCGAUUGAAUGAGCCGAUGUCGGAUUAGCUAGUUGGCGGGGUAAAGGCCCACCAAGGCGACGAUCCGUAGCUGGUCUGAGAGGAUGGUCAGCCACCCUGGAACUGAGACACGGUCCAGACUCCUACGGGAGGCAGCAGUGGGGAAUAUUGGACAAUGGGCGCAAGCCUGAUCCAGCCAUUCCGCGUGGGUGAAGAAGGCCUUCGGGUUGUAAAGCCCUUUUGUUGGGAAAGAAAAGCAGCAGGUUAAUACCCCGCUGUUCUGACGGUACCCAAAGAGUAAGCACCGGCUAACUUCGUG
rnacentral:rRNA from 1 species